UACAGAGGGUGCAAGCGUUAAUCGGAAUUACUGGGCGUAAAGCGUGCGUAGACGGUUAUAUAAGUCGGGUGUGAAAGCCCCGGGCUCAACCUGGGAAUUGCAUUCGAGACUGUAUAGCUAGGGUGCGGAAGAGGGAAGCGGAAUUUCCGGUGUAGCGGUGAAAUGCGUAGAUAUCAUCUGGAACGCCAAUGGUGCAGACAGGCUGCUGGGAAUGAACUGACGCUGAGGCACGAAAGCUAGGGGAGCGAACGGG
rnacentral:rRNA from 1 species